AGCUCUGAUAAUAUGAAAUCCUUGUACUAUGAUGAUGAUAGAACCUUUGCUAUCUAAGAUAUCAUUAUAGUUUAAAUUUGAUAAUUAAUGGCUUUGAAAAUUAAGUGUUUGUCUGUGGAUUGUAACCCGAAGAGUAAAAUAUGUUUGUUACACUUGGGGAAUUCCAGUCAAACUAAUGGUGCUGAAUUCAAGGGAUAAAAGAAAAAGACCACUUGGCAGGAGGUGCAACAGUGCUAAGAAUGGAAAAGGGAGGCCAUUCAGAAGUGCUCAGGAGAAAAAGUGCUGCAACCAUCUCUCUGAAACUCCUGGCAGAGGUGUUAGCACCAUCUCUGCUUGGCCCAGCCUUGACCACUGGCACUUCUGGCAGCAUCUCUCAGAAGCCAAUCCUUUAAGUCCCCCCAGCUACCAAAACCUGGCCACACAAAACCAAUACAGUAAGUGCUUUAAAUCCAAGAUGUGAGGUAGCUUUUAGAAUACUUUUAUUUUUCUUUUUUUCUUUGGGGGUGGGGAUUGUUAUUCUGUAGAAGUUGUAUUUUUUAUUUUCCUUUUUUCAUUGUAAAUGUGCAGCAUUUGCUGAUGGGAGCAUUUGCAGCCUUGAUGAGAGUUGUCUAGUAACAGUUGUCCACGUAGGUAUUUACAGUUUAAACAAGAAUAGUCUAGUCAGUGGUAAUUCUUAAGUCUAUUUUGGUUUGCUUUGCAUUUUUAAUAGCAUCCAUAAAUACCAUGGGGUGAUAGAUGGGGCUUUUUAUUUCUAGGAACAAUAAUAACGUAUAAGGUGGGUGUAUAAUAAGGUGUAUGUUUUUAGAUUUGAUAUAUGAAAUUUUAGUCUUUUAUGCAUAGAUGAACCUUGGUUAUAUUGUCAGUAUGUACUAAAAAACCACCUUUUUAGAGGAGAUUGCCAUUGCUAUAAAUAAUGUAUAUCUGAAUAUUCUUCAUUAGAAGUAGUUGCUCAUCUAAUCACUGUUCAAUCCCAUCUUUUCAGAAGAGGCAAACAUGUAGCUGUGAAAAUAAUCAAAAACUAUGGCAGCUGCUCCAAAGCAGUUGAUGAAGUCCUAGUACUGUAGUAUGUAAAGGCACUGGAUCCUGGCAGUACUCAAUGAAAUCGUCUGACUGACUAACUGAGCAUCAUUACCCCACCUGAGUCAUCUGGCAAUUUCCUUUUUGGCUAUGAAGACCACCCUCUCAUCUUAACCUGCAGCUAGGUGAGUCUGAGGCAGUAACUCUUCCUCAAGUGCUUGGGGGAAAUGUAGACAGAGGAGCUAACUUAAUGGCCUUAACUGCAGAGCUAUUUAAGCAACCUUUGCUGUAGCUAAGCAGAACACUCAUGAUGUAUCUUCAUACCUGAUACAUCAGCUGAUCAUUGCCUUGUUUUUACUACAGGCAGGGUAUAAUCAACAUGCAACAAAUCCACCUAUGUAACUAACAGUCUUAUAGAGGUCUUCAACUUUUCCUCAUCUCAAUUUGUCCUUAGAUUAUGGAAAUCAUGAGAUAAAAAGCUUCCAAAGAUAAGAGAACUCAACUGCAGAUCUUAGAGUGCUGUCUAAAACAGCUUAGCCAAUUCUGUUAGCAGGCUAAUAGGGCAUACUGGUGUCCAGUGUCAGUGCAAUUAUCAACACAUUGGUAAAAGCUGUUUGGAAAUACUGGAUCAGUUAUUUUCCAGGGCAGAACCACGGAGCUCCAUUGUUCUAGAAGAGUUGCUUCUCAGCCAAACUAUGGUUAAAUGCUUAAAGAGAGACUAAAACCCCUGGCUGCUGGCAUUCCAUCUGCUGGACAGACCACAGCAAACUCUUAAUACUCAAGAGAUUUUUGAGGUGCUUUGACAUUCAAACAGGUUCUAUAAAUCCAAGUAUGCUUCUGCAUGUACAGCAUGCCUAAAGCUGCCUAUUAGGACUGGAACACUGCUGCUAUACAAGUAAAACUGUACUGAACAGAAACUCUAAGAGCAUCCCCACUUCCUCUUAGCUGGAAAAAAGCUCCACCAAAAUGCUAAGUUACUCGUCACACCUGUUCAGUCACUAACUCUUCUUAUGGAAGUAACUGUGCGUGCAGAGAGACAGGCCUUUGCAUAUCCCAUACUUUGAGAGUUUUCUGGACGUUGACUGGGGGAUAGGUGGGUGGGUGGAUUUGUGGGAUUUUGUUGAGGGUUUUUUCUGUCAAUUUAUAAAAACUUAAAAGAGAACAAUGUAACUUCUAGCCAGUGGCUAAGACUGAAAUUCUUACUAUGUUAGAUGCUCCUUAGAUGUAUGCAUUAACCUGCAACAAGCAUGUGCUGGAGCUCCCCUGUAAUUCAGGGGUACCAGAUCCUAAGCUACACAUUCAGGACAGUUCUAGAAUGGUCAUCUAUUAGGAAAAGGUUAUUACAGUAAAUUCAGCAACAAGUCUGACUGCCAAAUAUUUUUGACUGGUGCAGAGAAAAUUCCAGUCAGCCUCAAGACUCUGCACUUAGCAUGGUCUCGUGUAAAAAAUUUACGGUGAACACAUGAAGGCACGGGUUUGCUUACUGACAGAAACCGACGUUUUUACCGUAAACAUAUCGCUGGCAGCCGGUCCUGGCAGUGGGCACGGUGCAGUA